rnacentral:rRNA from 1 species
GGGGGAUAUUGCGCAAUGGGCGAAAGCCUGACGCAGCGACGCCGCGUGGGUGAUGAAGGCCUUCGGGUCGUAAAGCCCUGUCGAGGGGAACGAAACGGUCUCGACCUAACACGUCGAGCCCCUGACGGUACCCCUAAAGGAAGCACCGGCUAACUCAGUGCCCGCAGCCGCGGUAAGACGGGGGGUGCGAGCGUUGUUCGGAAUUACUGGGCGUAAAGGGCGCGUAGGCGGCCUGUUAAGUCAGACGUGAAAUCCCUCGGCUCAACCGGGGAACUGCGUCUGAUACUGGCGGGCUUGAAUUCGGGAGAGGGAUGUGGAAUUCCAGGUGUAGCGGUGAAAUGCGUAGAUAUCUGGAGGAACACCGGUGGCGAAGGCGGCAUCCUGGACCGACAUUGACGCUGAGGCGCGAAAGCCAGGGGAGCAAA